GACGAACGCUGGCGGCGUGCUUAACACAUGCAAGUCGAACGAUGAAGGAGAGCUUGCUCUCCGGAUUAGUGGCGAACGGGUGAGUAACACGUGAGUAACCUGCCCUUGACUCUGGGAUAACUGCGGGAAACUGUAGCUAAUACCGGAUACGACCCUCGGCGGCAUCGCCAGGGGGUGGAAAGAAUUUCGGUCAAGGAUGGACUCGCGGCCUAUCAGCUAGUUGGUGAGGUAACGGCUCACCAAGGCGACGACGGGUAGCCGGCCUGAGAGGGGGACCGGCCACACUGGGACGGAGACACGGCCCAGACUCCUACGGGGGGCAGCAGUGGGGAAUAAUGCACAAUGGGCGCAAGCCUGAUGCAGCAACGCCGCGUGAGGGAUGACGGCCUUCGGGUUGUAAACCUCUUUUAGUAGGGAAGAAGCGAAAGUGACGGUACCUGCAGAAAAAGCACCGGCUAACUACGUGCCAGCCGCCGCCGUAA
rnacentral:rRNA from 1 species